rnacentral:rRNA from 1 species
UACAGAGGGUGCAAGCGUUGCUCGGAAUUAUUGGGCGUAAAGCGCACGCAGGCGGCAAGGUAAGUCAGUUGUGAAAUUCCCGAGCUUAACUUGGGGGCUGCAGCUGAUACUGCCCUGCUUGAGUACGGAAGAGGGGAGCGGAAUUCCCAGUGUAGAGGUGAAAUUCGUAGAUAUUGGGAGGAACACCGGUGGCGAAGGCGGCUCCCUGGUCCGAUACUGACGCUCAUGUGCGAAAGCGUGGGGAGCAAACAGG